AAGUCGUAACAAGGUUUCCGUAGGUGAACCUGCGGAAGGAUCAUUAACACGUAUCCAAACGUUAAACCCCCCCCGUGAACCUUCAUCGUGCUCUAGUGGGCCACUGAUAAACACAGCAAUUCCUGGUAAAUCAUUGUCUGAACAAGCCUUUGAGUCAGGAACCUCUGUGCAGUGCGAGCUACACCCACUAUAGAAGCGCUAGUUCCAUCGGCAUUGUUUCCCCAAGCAGCCAGUGCGUGAAAGUGGCAACUGACUGUGCCAUGCCCCUUCCUUCUGCCGAUUUCACAUACAAAGCUCCAUUUUCAAUUAUGGAUGGGGUAAAACCGAACAACUGUUAACAAUGGAUAUCUUGGUUCUC
rnacentral:misc_RNA from 1 species